rnacentral:rRNA from 1 species
UACAGAGGUGCCAAGCGUUAGGCGGAAUCACUGGGCUUAAAGCGCGUGUAGGCGGGUCGUUAAGUGUCCGAGUGAAAUCCCACGGCUCAACCGUGGAACUGCCGGGCAUACUGGCGAUCUUGAGGCAUUCAGGGGCGAACGGAACAAAUGGUGGAGCGGUGAAAUGCGUAGAUAUCAUUUGGAACGCCAAUGGUGAAAACAGCUCGCUGGGAAUGAUCUGACGCUGAGACGCGAAAGCCAGGGGAGCGAACGGA